rnacentral:rRNA from 1 species
GCAGUGAAGGAAUAUUGGUCAAUAGCCUAACGGCUGAACCAGCAACUUGGAGGAAUGUAUAGGGAAAACUGGUAAAAUGUGAUGUACCUAGUAAUAUUAGCAAUAAUAUGAGAUUAACUAAGUUAAUUAAAAUUCAAAGCAUGUAUAUGAUUAUGACAUUAUGUGCUCAUGUCUUGACCAAGUCACGUGCCAGCAGUCGCGGUAAUACGUGGUAGACAAGUGUUAUUCAUCUUUAACAGGUUUAAAGGGUACCUAGACAGUUAAUUAAGCACAAUAAUGCACUAAUUAACUAGAGUUUAAUGUAAGAAGGAUUGAGUACGGUGAGUGGAGAGAUAAAAUUCUGUGAUACCACUUAGGAACUGGUAAAGGCGAAGGCAACCUUCUAUGUAAAAACUGACGUUGAGGGACGAAGGCUCAUAACAAUGAACAGGAUUAGAUACCCUAGUAUUCUGGGCAGAAAAUGAUGAGUGUCAUAUGCAAGAUAUUUUUUGUGUAUAAAUGAAAGUGCAAGCACUCCACCUCAAGAGUAACGUGGCAACGCGGGAACUGAAAUCAUUAGACCGUUUCUGAAACUCGUAGUGAAGUAUGUUGUUUAAUUUGAUGAUCCACAAAUAACCUUACCACAGUUUGUAUAACUAUAUUAUAAUCAUUGUAUAGUAACAAGUGUUGCACGGCUGUCUUCAGUCAAUGUUGUGAAACUAUGGUUAGAUCCAUUAAAUUGACGUAAACCCUGGCUUUAUUUAUUAUAAAGCAGUUCGCCGCUAUAUUGGUAAUGAUAUAUGGGAUCAAGACAAGUCAUCAUGACCUAAACACUGUGGGCUAUAGACGUGCCACAU